rnacentral:tRNA from 1 species
GCGCUCGUAGCUCAGUUGGAUAGAGCAUCAGACUACGAAUCUGAGGGUCGGGAGUUCGAGUCUCUCCGAGCGCGCCA